AAAAUAAUAUAAUAUAACAUACAUAUCCUUUUUUCCAGAUACGCUCACUGAUCUGGUUUGGAGCAUGAUAAAAAAAAAACUAAUCUGUCUGUACUUGGACUAUGGAUAAAUUGAAAAGCACUGGCUUAUUAAUUGAAAUGUUUGGUAUUCUUAUAUAGCACUUACACAAUGGUUCUGAACAAUUGAUGCUCUCUAAGUAUAAGGUACAAUAUAUGAGCAAUAUUUCUGCGAAUGAAUAAAGGUGCAAUAUGGUGACUCUGAAAUGGUAUGCUGGAUUGUGUUGCUGUACUAGCUGUAACACUCAGCUUGGAUGGCCGAUGUUACGCGCCGCUAUCCUAGCCGAUGACAUCGGGCGUUUCCGGAAGUAUUCGGCUGCGCGCGCAGGCUGGCAGAAGAGAAGAUAUGUCACGCGGCGACUAUUCGAUUAUUAUUAUUCUCUCUGGUUGGACGUUGUCAAAAGAAUGUAUAAAAAUUGUAUUCUGUAAUUAUUUUGCUAAUAUAAUGUUUACUGUAAAAAGAGCGUUUAACAUGUUGUUGACUUCACACAACAAUCAAUAGUGACAUGAAAUAUAUAAAAAAUAUUUCACAACUUUAUAAUAAACAAACAAAUUGAUUUAAAAAAGAAAGCGACAAGCGAUCCCACCUUACCGCGGUGUCGAAACUUGUUCUAUCCGUUUCUGAGAAAACUAAAUGAUUAAACAAAGCAUAAUCAAUACGUGACUGUAUUAUAUAUUGUGAUAUUACAAUGUUUAUACAUGUUUGUUGUUAAAAUUAAUUGUGAAUGAUGUAGUGGGUGACUGUGGGAGACAUUUGAAAUAUAAAAUUAAUUUCAAUUUUGACAUUGUUGUAUAGGCUUUCCUCAAUGAUUACUUGAUAGAUUUGUUCGAAGCGAUUUGCAUCUAGACGAAUUCCUGCUACCUUUAUCAAUAACCUAUAUAAUGAUUCAGAAAAAAAGUUAUAUCAUUUUAAUCUUUUUAUAAUGGAUAGAAGGUACACUUUGAAAGCUUUCUGCAAACUUUGACAUGUGUGCAAAUAGGUUCUUUUUUGCAUAAAUAGCUCCAUUUGAUAGUAGGACUUGAAGUCUUUGGGGAAGGCCUAUGUUCAGCAGUAGACACUUUGUCUGACGAUGAUAAUGGUAAAUAUAAAUACAAUUACGUAUAUAUUUUUUUUUAAUACAAAACUUUCAUUUCUAUCACCCACAAAAAAGUGCGAUAAGAUGUUUGCAAAAACGCCUGUUUGUAUGUUGAAUAAACACAUUAGUGCCUCAUUCUUAUAUUGGAGCGAAUUUACGAAAAAUAUCAUUUUUGAUAUUUUUUUUAUCUAUUAGUGUUGCAAUUGUGCCAAUUGGUUAUGGUGUAUGACCGUAUAUUUACGGAAGUGGAAUUUCAAUUCGAUUCUCGAUUUGGGAUAGGAUACUUAUUAUAUUGUCUAUCAGAUCGUAUAGAGUACUUUAUACUUCAAAAAGGAAUCAUUGCGUCUCGUUCCAAGGUGUUGAGUUUUGGGAUUAUGAAAUGAAA